rnacentral:rRNA from 1 species
UCAAGAGAAAUUUUGAAUAAUACCCCAUACGAUCUGAUUCACUCCUGUGAAACAGAAGAAAAUUCCGAUGGUAAAAGAUGGGCAUGCGUCCUAUUAGUUUGUUGGUGAGGUAACGGCUCACCAAGACUACGAUAGGUAGGGGUCCUGAGAGGGAGAUCCCCCACACUGGUACUGAGACACGGACCAGACUCCUACGGGAGGCAGCAGUGAGGAAUAUUGGACAAUGGAGGCAACUCUGAUCCAGCCAUGCCGCGUGCAGGAAGACGGCCCUAUGGGUUGUAAACUGCUUUUAUACAGGAAGAAACGUUAGUACGUGUACUAGCCUGACGGUACUGUA